rnacentral:snRNA from 1 species
GGAUGUGAGGGUGAUCUGGCUGCGACAUCUGUCACCCCAUUGAUCACCAGGGUUGAUUCGGCUGAUCUGGCUGGCUAGGCGGGUGUCCCGCUCCUCCCUCGCCGAUCCAUGUGCGUCCCUCCCGAAGCUGCGCGCUCAGUCGAAGAGGACGACCUCCCCCCCCCCCCCCCCCCCAGGAGAGGACCGGUCUUCGGUCAAGGGUAUACAGUAACUGCGCUCCCCUGCUAGAACCUCCAAACAAGCUCUCAAAGUGUAGUCUGCUAUUAUUCUAUUACAAUAAAAACAGAUAGGCAAACACAACCCUCCUGUAUGUGUAUUU